rnacentral:rRNA from 1 species
CGGGUGAGUAAUGCUUGGGAAUCUAGCUUAUGGAGGGGGAUAACUACGGGAAACUGUAGCUAAUACCGCGUAGUAUCGAGAGAUGAAAGUGUGGGACCUUCGGGCCACAUGCCAUAGGAUGAGCCCAAGUGGGAUUAGGUAGUUGGUGAGGUAAAGGCUCACCAAGCCGACGAUCUCUAGCUGGUCUGAGAGGAUGACCAGCCACACUGGGACUGGGACACGGCCCAG